rnacentral:rRNA from 1 species
UCGUCAGCUCGUGUCGUGAGAUGUUGGGUUAAGUCCCGCAACGAGCGCAACCCUUGUUCUUAGUAGCCAGCGGCUUGGCCGGGCACUCUAAGGAGACUGCCGGGGUGGACCCGGAGGAAGGUGGGGAUGACGUCAAAUCAUCAUGCCCCUUAUGACUUGGGCUACACACGUGCUACAAUGGCGUAAACAAAGGGACGCGACGCCGUAAGGUCGAGCAAAUCUCAAAAAUAACGUCUCAGUUCGGAUUGUAGUCUGCAACUCGACUACAUGAAGCUGGAAUCGCUAGUAAUCGCGAAUCAGAAUGUCGCGGUGAAUACGUUCCCGGGUCUUGUACACACCGCCCGUCACACCAUGGGAGUUGGAAAUGCCCGAAGUCAGUGACCCAACCGCAAGGAGGGAGCUGCCGAAGGCAGGUCGGAUAACUGGGGUGAAGUCGUAACAAGGUAGCCGUA